rnacentral:rRNA from 1 species
UACGGAGGGGGCGAGCGUUAUUCGGAAUUAUUGGGCGUAAAGGGCGCGUAGGCGGCUAGAUGUGUCAAAGGUGAAAUCCCUCGGCUCAACUGAGGAACUGCCUUUGAAACUGUCUGGCUUGAGGCCGGGAGAGGGUAGCGGAAUUCCCAGUGUAGCGGUGAAAUGCGUAGAGAUGCGGAGGAAUACCAGUGGCGAAGGCGGCCUUCUGGGACUCAACUGACGCUGAAGCGCGAAAGCAUGGGGAGCGAACGGG